rfam:Triticum aestivum genome assembly, contig: Triticum_aestivum_CS42_TGACv1_scaffold_408891_5BL
CAUAUACUCCCUCCAUCCGGAAAUACUUGUCAUCAAAAUAAACAAAAGGGGAUGUAUCUAGAUGUAUUUUAGUUCUACAUACAUUCCUUUUUAUUCAUUUUGAUGACAAGUAUUUUCGGACGGAGGGAGUAGUAU